rnacentral:lncRNA from 1 species
CUAUGCACAGUAAAGUAGUUAUGAGGUGAAGAACCAGGCCAAGCUCUUCUAGGAAGAAAAAUGAAUAGGAAAUGAACGACUUUGCUGGACCACACACAGUGAACCACAGGUUGAAGAGCAAAGGAGCCAACCAAUCAUGGACUAAGACCUCAGCAACUGUUGAUUGUCUCCCUGAUGUGCUACAGUGAUAGCAAACUGACUACGACAGAAUAGUUGGAAGAGUGGAGGCUACACCAUAUUUAUUUGCUGAUGAUGCUUCUUUGGGAUAAGGCCAAAUUAUGGUAUACUGAGGCACACAGUGAUGAGGGGUUUGACUUAGCCCAUAAUAAACUUUUGUAACAUGAGAAUAACAGGGCAAGACAUUCCAAAGUGAAAGGCUAGGUGAGGAAGAGAGGGUACUGAUAGACAAUAGAAGACAGGCCAAGUAAAGACAAAAGUUAUAUGUGAUCAGAAGAAUGAAAAGAAGAAAAGGAGAACCAAGUGGAUUGUAGCCCCUAAAAUGAUCAUUAAAAUUUAAGAGGCAGAGGUGAAGUCAGAGAAAUAGCAGUGAAGGCCAGGGUGUUCAAGACUGAUGCUGCAGCUGUGAUGAUGAACGCAGACCAAAGAUUGAAUUAAAUCCGCAAAUUAUCGGUAAAACAUACCACCACCACUGGAUGUGUCUGUGAGACUGUUCCUGGGAAGAUCAAGCAGCUAGUAAGUCCGGCUCUGACUAUGGGUAAUACUAUCCCAUAAGCUAAGGGCUCCAAUAUGAUUAAAGACCUAAGGAAACGGCUUAUGCAUGAAUUCUCUCUCUAAAUCCUAACCAAUAUUAUUUGACCUGCUAUCCAGCACAUACCAUGCUAGAAUAAAAUCUCUUAAGCC